UACGUAGGGUCCGAGCGUUGUCCGGAUUUAUUGGGCGUAAAGAGCUCGUAGGCGGCUCAGUAAGUCAGAUGUGAAAAACUCAGGGCUCAACCCGGAGACGCCAUCUGAUACUGCUGUGGCUUGAGUCUGGUAGGGGAUCACGGAAUUCCGUGGUGUAGCGGUGAAAUGCGCAGAUAAUCAGGAGGAACAGCCGAUGGCGAAGGCAGGUGAUCCUGGGCCAGUACUGACGCUGAGGAGCGAAAGCGUGGGUAGCAAACAGG
rnacentral:rRNA from 1 species